GAACAAGGCAAUAACAAACAGACCGGAUCAAGUGAAAGGUAAAGAGACACUUUAGACACGUAUAAUAAAAUCUGAGCCGCUCUGUGUCAAAAAUAACCACCUUUAAUGGACACAUUGCAGUGCCUUCAUUGCAGCUCAUUCUGCGGCUGCCAGCUCCCUCAGUACUGGACCAACUUCAAAAAUUGUUGUUCACAUCAGUCUCUUUGAUUAAUUUGCACGGGGAAAUAGGGUCCAGGUUGAAAAUUCAUUCAUUCAUUCAUUCAUCUUCUAACCGCUUCAUCCUCUUGAGGGUCGCGGGGGGGCUGGAGCCUAUCCCAGCUACAUCGGGUGAGAGGCAGGGUUUACCCUGGACAGGUCGCCAGACUAUCGCAGGGCUGACACAUAGAGACAGACAACCAUUCACACUCACAUUCACACCUACGGACAAUUUAGAGUUAUCAAUUAACCUAGUCCCCAAUCUGCAUGUCUUUGGACUGUGGGAGGAAGCCGGAGUGCCCGGAGAGAACCCACGCUGACACGGGGAGAACAUGCAAACUCCACACAGAAGGGCUCCCACGCCCGGGAUUGAACCAGCAACCCUCUUGCUGUGAGACGCAGUACUUCCAGAAGCAAGCUGCAGAUGAGAGAAGAUGAAGACAUUGUACAUGCAGAACAUUAAUACAGCAAAGUUAUGGAUUUGCCUUCUGCCAAAUUGGCUGUGAGCUCCCUCUCCAGCUCCAGGUCCUCCCUCAGCGCACGCAGCUACAAGCAGAGAUCAGAGUGAUUAAGC